GAGUUUACAAGUGGCCUUUGAAAGGCUCAGCAACCCCGCAGGGCCAUGCUUGCGCCUCAGUAAAGAAGUUACCCAGCAGCCCUUCCCUACCGCACAGCCUUGGACACAUUUUCUAAACAUUUGCAGCUGUUAUCAGGGGUAGGAUAGAGCACAUGAGGUUCCCAAGUUUUGAUCCAACACAUCAGAACACACUUGAUUUUUACU
rnacentral:lncRNA from 1 species